CUGGCUGCGAGGACCUACAUUCCCGUCUCUGCUGCUGCAACUCUGGGCAGGUCGCCCCACACUCUCCUCCUUGAUACGGUCCCUGAGUGGGGUGUCUGCCUGUGGGAGGGGCUGGCCAGCCUGGCGCGUGAUGGAGGUCUCCCAGCUGGCAGAUCUGCAGGGCAGACCUGUCCAGGCCGCGCUGAGCUUCCAUCAACACCUAUCGCCCCGGGCCUAGCUCAGGCUGAACUCUGCCCUUGCUGGCCGCACCCUGCAUUCCGGAAUGGGCUCCCGAGAGCUGACUGGGGACCUGAGAAGCUGACGCUGUGGAAACAGAAGUCAGGGGACGCGUCCUUCCUGCACGACUGGGAUGCGCACUGUGACACGAGGCGGCACACCGCUGACACCAGGAGGGUCAGGCGAGCCCAUGCUCUCUGCCCCUGCCUCUCGCUCCCCAGGGAUUCCCCAAGGCCACUGCUCCACUUUUGAGUCCACAAACGGGCCUGCCUGGUUAGAAGCUUGUGGGUGGGGGCGGAAGCGCACACAGGCGGGGUGCUCGCUCCUGACUCACCUGACUGCCGGAGCCACUUCUCCAUUCCAGUUCCCAGUGAACAAGGGCCCCCCACCCCCCGCCAGCAGGCCUGGCUCCAAGCUGGCCCCAUGCCAGCAGCAGCUGGCUUUGUCUGGAGAGGCCUGUGCCCUCCCGGGAAUCCCAACACCCAGCGGCGGUGGCCUGCGGGAUCGAAUACAAAUCCAGGUGUUACCAAAGGUGCCGUCCUCACUUGGAGCCUGGCGCACCGCUGCCACGUGGGAGGUCCUUCUCAGCACGUGGCAUGGUGGAGAGUGUGCCUGCAGAACACGCACCAAGCGCCCAAUAUUUUGGUCAAAGGGGAGGAAAAUCAAAUAACUGAGUUGGCUGGGGACAGAUUUGUUUUUUUUUUUUUUUUUUAAGAGAAAUAUAAGUUCUAGCUACCUUAUUUUUAAAGUUAGGGACUUUAAGAUCUAAAACUGAGCUAUCCACAUGAUGGUAAAACAGACUCCUCCUGAGUAACAGAGAGGCCCAGAUGAGGGGACAAAGCUCACGGGAGGCUGCUGAUGGCCAUGCGGCAGAGCCACAGCAGGUGCAGGGCAGGGCCAGCGCCGGCCGGGAGGACAGAGCACACCCCUCACGCCCUGACUGGCGGUGUCGGGUCUCCUCAUCUCCACAGCAGCCUUGGAGGCCACGUUAGGGUCCCUCUGCAGAGGCAGAAACUGAGGCUCCGAGAAGUGACCUUCUGUAGCCACCUGGCAGGAAAGGCCUGUCGGCUGCAAAAUCUGUGCUCUGCAUGCUAACCCUGAGAGCUGUGCAGAACCCCGAGUGAGCCUCUGCUCGUGCACGUGUGUGCGUGUGUGUGUGUGUGUGUGUGUGUGUGUGUGUGUGCACAUGUGCACAAGAUGUAGCAGAGGCCAUGACCUGACCUUUAGAUUUUUGCCAUUUAAGAUCUGGAGGCAGGAAUGAAGAGCAGACAGAGGAAGUCACGGACCUCGCCCCGCAUGUCAGCACCGCUUGAUUUGGGUGACGGGUGGAUCCCUGACAGGACGAAGCUGCCCUCUCUAACUGGCUCAGCAGGGGAGCAGCUGCUGGCUCUUCCCUGUCAGCGGCUUCCAGCCUGUGGGGGUCUCCUCUGCUGCGCACAGGCUGGGCAGGCUGGGCAGGCGCUACUGCCUGCCCCACCGCACUCAUGGUGACGACUGACCUAGCGACUGGGAGCCUCCCCUCCUUCCCACCCCGCCUCUGCUUCCGCUGCUGCCCUCGACCUCCCGACCUCCUGUCCCUCCUGUCCCUCCUGUCCCUCACGCCUGGCCUCAGGUGUGGGAAGGUCCCUCCCCCGCUUCUGUCCCUCCAGAAGAACGAAGUCAAGUGGCACAUGAUGGCCUCUUCUCUGACCAGCUCUGCCCUGGCGAGGGGCCGGGGUGUCUCAGGCCUGCAGCUGUGAACUGGGUCCCGGCCUGUGAUGGGCAGUGUGUAAGGCCCGGUCUGGAAGGCACUGGCAAAGGGAGUCACCCACGCCACCGUGUGUGGCUCUGCCCGGAGGCUUUGGGAGGAGCUGGCUACCAGAGCUGAGUCCUGAUGGGGGGGUGGAGGGCACAGGACUCCCGGGGAGGGGAGAACUGGCACUGUGUUUGGGGACUACAGGUGGAUUAGAAUUGCUGGGAAGUAGGAGCCGAGAAGUGUGCCCAAAGCAGAGGUAGGAGCUGGAUUCCAGAGGGCAUCUCGGCAGCUCUUUGGGGCUGCCACGUGCCCCUCCUCAUAUAGCUCUGGGCUACCAUCCUCCCUCCCUGCAGUUCAGCUGUCCCCGGAAGCCCUUGUGCACUGCAGGCUCCUGCCCCAGGGCCUUUGCACAUGCCAUACCCCCCCCCCCGGACAGAAGCACCUGCACCUAUUCCUGCCAGGACCUGCCGCCUUCCUCAGAAACCUUCCCCAGCCACUGCUCAGGACACACUCACUGCUCACAUGACCUCGACUUUCCAGGUCACUGCUGCCGAUGCCAGCAUCUGGUUCACAUGCCCCCAAAGUGCCCUUCCUUGUCAGCCUCUGGGGCCUUUAGUGGUCCAGGAGUCACGAUGCCUGUGAUGCAGGCCUGUGGGCUCUGUCAGCCACAGACACAUCUCAGCUUUGUCCCUCUGACCCCUCGCCCAGGGAGCGACGAGCUACUGAAGGAACAGGUUUGCUUCUCCCUCCAUCCAUGUCUCAGUGGCAAGAACUUAAAGGCAGGGCUGGCAUACAGUAGAUGCUCAAUAAAAGUCAGAACCUCAGCAAGUACUUCUCAGACACCCUCAGAGCCCCCCAGGGUAUAGGCGUUUUCACUGCACUCUGCAGCUGGAAAAUCACAGGAACCCUGAGGCAGAGAUCACUGCUGAUACCCAAGCAGCUGGAGAUCAGAGGGGACAAGUAAUUUGCCCAAAGCCACACAGCGAAAUGACAACAGAGCUCAGACUCGAGCUUCCUGACUCUUCCUGCUGAAACCCUUGUCAACCCCGCCCUGACUGUGACUCUUUCCUGGGCCCCUGCUUGGUGCCAGGUACUGCACAAGCAUGAUCUGAUCUGCUUCUCGAUGGCAAACGGAAGGGGCCACUUCCCAAGCUCCCUCCUGGCCACAGCUGCUCUGUGCAGAGCUGGGGAGCAGCGGCUGGUGGGGCCCAAGGGCACAGUUCAGAGCGCGACAGUCAGGCGGCCUCAGCAGCCGCUCCUGUCUGGGGCACUUGGGGUCAGCCAGUGGCCUGUGCUGACUGCAGAGGGAGCGGCCGGCCUGUUUGCUGCAACCCCUACCCUCUGCCUCCCUGCUCACCUCCUCCAGGAAGCCCUCCCACACUGAGCGCCUGCUGAGAGCAGGAAGGGGUCUCAGAGGCCAUCUGGGCCCCCUUCCCGCGCCCAUUUCUCAGAUGGAGGAACUACAGAGCAGAGCGAGGCCUCCGCUGUCGGCGGUGCCACGGCUGAGAUAAGACUCAGGGCUCCAGGCCCCACUUCACCUCCACGGGCACCAGCGGCCACAGCCACACGACGGACACAGUGCUGGCCACCCCUCCCCUGCAGGGCUGCCUGGUGUUCAGGGUCCAGGAUUUAAAACUGGAGGCGCAGAUACCUGCAGGUCCCAGGGGAAGGUAAUUACUGCACCCAGUGUGGGGAGAGAAGCUUCAUAGUUGAGAAGAUGGAGGGUCACCCUGAUCCUGCCCAUCCCUAUGCCUGCUCUUCUAAGAGCUUUGCAAACAGUAAUUAUAGUUCUGGGCAUGGUGACAUAUGCCUACAAUCCUAGCACUCAGGAGGCUGAG